GACGAACUCUGGCGGCGUGCUUAACACAUGCAAGUCGAACGGUAAGGCUCCAGCUUGCUGGGGUACACGAGUGGCGAACGGGUGAGUAACACGUGGGUGACCUGCCCUGCACUUCGGGAUAAGCCUGGGAAACUGGGUCUAAUACCGGAUAGGACUGCACCGUGAGGGUGUGGUGGAAAGUUUUUUCGGUGUGGGAUGGGCCCGCGGCCUAUCAGCUUGUUGGUGGGGUAAUGGCCUACCAAGGCGGCGACGGGUAGCCGGCCUGAGAGGGUGGACGGCCACAUUGGGACUGAGACACGGCCCAGACUCCUACGGGAGGCAGCAGUGGGGAAUAUUGCACAAUGGGCGGAAGCCUGAUGCAGCGACGCCGCGUGGGGGAUGACGGCCUUCGGGUUGUAAACUCCUUUCACCAUCGACGAAGGGUUUCUGACGGUAGAUGGAGAAGAAGCACCGGCUAACUACGUGCCAGCAGCCGCGGUAAUACGUAGGGUGCGAGCGUUGUCCGGAAUUACUGGGCGUAAAGAGCUCGUAGGUGGUUUGUCGCGUCGUCUGUGAAAUUCCGGGGCUUAACUCCGGGCGUGCAGGCGAUACGGGCAUAACUUGAGUACUGUAGGGGAGACUGGAAUUCCUGGUGUAGCGGUGAAAUGCGCAGAUAUCAGGAGGAACACCGGUGGCGAAGGCGGGUCUCUGGGCAGUAACUGACGCUGAGGAGCGAAAGCAUGGGGAGCGAACAGGAUUAGAUACCCUGGUAGUCCAUGCCGUAAACGGUGGGCGCUAGGUGUGGGUUUCCUUCCACGGGAUCCGUGCCGUAGCUAACGCAUUAAGCGCCCCGCCUGGGGAGUACGGCCGCAAGGCUAAAACUCAAAGGAAUUGACGGGGGCCCGCACAAGCGGCGGAGCAUGUGGAUUAAUUCGAUGCAACGCGAAGAACCUUACCUGGGCUUGACAUAUACAGGAUCGCGCCAGAGAUGGUGUUUCCCUUGUGGCUUGUAUACUGGUGGUGCAUGGUUGUCGUCAGCUCGUGUCGUGAGAUGUUGGGUUAAGUCCCGCAACGAGCGCAACCCUUGUCUUAUGUUGCCAGCACGUUGUGGUGGGGACUCGUAAGAAACUGCCGGGGUUAACUCGGAGGAAGGUGGGGAUGACGUCAAAUCAUCAUGCCCCUUAUGUCCAGGGCUUCACACAUGCUACAAUGGUCGGUACAGUGGGUUGCCAGUCCGUGAGGGCGAGCUAAUCCCGCAAAGCCGGUCUCAGUUCGGAUCGGGGUCUGCAACUCGACCCCGUGAAGUCGGAGUCGCUAGUAAUCGCAGAUCAGCAACGCUGCGGUGAAUACGUUCCCGGGCCU
rnacentral:rRNA from 1 species